UACGUAGGGGGCGAGCGUUGUCCGGAAUUAUUGGGCGUAAAGGGCGUGUAGGCGGUUCGGUAAGUCUGCCGUGAAAACCUGGGGCUCAACCCUGGGCGUGCGGUGGAUACUGCCGGGCUAGAGGGUGGUAGAGGCGAGUGGAAUUCCCGGUGUAGCGGUGAAAUGCGCAGAUAUCGGGAGGAACACCAGUAGCGAAGGCGGCUCGCUGGGCCAUUCCUGACGCUGAGACGCGAAAGCUAGGGGAGCGAACAGG
rnacentral:rRNA from 1 species